GCCAUAGCUCAGUGGUAGAGCAUUUGUCUUGCAUGCAGAAGGUUCCUAGUCUGACACACACACACCCCAGGUAUCUCCA